CGAACCAUUUGAGUAUUUGCUGUAUGUAUAAAUUUUCGUAAUGCCCCAAUUAAGAAAUAUUUUCUGUGAAGUUAGAUAACUUGGGAGCAAGGCCGAACGCUACUGGGUCAGGGGAAAGGCUGUGGAUGCGCCAGGUGCAGGUCGACUAUCGGCGGUGGUAGUAUAUAAAUACGGACGCAGCAAAAGUUUCGACAGAGCACUACUGGCCCGGUAGAUCUUAUCCUUACUAGCUGUUGGUCUAGCCUCAAACGAUGAGUCCGUGCAUCAUCUUGGCCCUGCUGGUGGCGGGAAUCGGCAGCGUCGCGGGAUUGGAAAUAUGUGCCGUAGACUGCUCACAUGGAAACGAGCUCACAGCUAAUCCCGUCGACUGUAAAGGCUACUAUAUAUGCUUUGAUUUAAUGAACCAUAGUGAGUAUCCGUUUACAUGCGAAGGCAACAUGUUUUUCGACAUUAUAUCCCACUCCUGUAAAGAUUCUGGUUACACUUGCACUCCUGAAUGUGAAAAAUGCUCCUUCGAUUGUGAAACACCUGUCCUGGAUAAAAGAGCGAGCUCAGUCGACUGUGGUGUUUACUUUACGUGCAGCACAGGUGAGUGGACCACGUGUCCCUCUGAUGCGCCAUAUUUCAAUGGUGACGUUUGUCAGACAGACCAAAACAACUGCUGCACUUGCAAGUCAUACUGCACUCAGGUUUAUGCGGACAAUCACGUCCUUGUCGCAGACUUACGCAACUGUACCAACUAUUACCUUUGUCUGAAGGAGGGGAUCCCAGACGAAACUUCUCACGGCCAUUGCCCAAGCGGUAAUUACGAUCCUGAAGCGCGUAAUUGCGUCGAAAAUGGUCCCUGCAUACAGCCUUGCGCCUGAACACAGAAGCGCCUCUGCGUGGUGAGUGAACGACAGGCCUCAACAUGACCAUGCUGCGGAUCCUCCUCACGACUAACUCUCUCCAGUGGGCCUUGUUCAACAGAUAUGUUCUUCGUGAAGUUGCUGUAAACUGUCCUUAUGAAUAACUGAAUGUACAGAAAUGAGGGAGGCUUAAACUUUAUGAAAAUGAAUAAAUAUAUUUAACAAGAAUA